UGGGGAAUUUUGGACAAUGGGCGAAAGCCUGAUCCAGCAAUGCCGCGUGUGUGAAGAAGGCCUUCGGGUUGUAAAGCACUUUUGUCCGGAAAGAAAUCCUUGGCUCUAAUACAGUCGGGGGAUGACGGUACCGGAAGAAUAAGCACCGGCUAACUACGUGCCAGCAGCCGCGGUAAUACGUAGGGUGCAAGCGUUAAUCGGAAUUACUGGACGUAAAGCGUGCGCAGGCGGUUUGCUAAGACCGAUGUGAAAUCCCCGGGCUCAACCUGGGAACUGCAUUGGUGACUGGCAGGCUAGAGUAUGGCAGAGGGGGGUAGAAUUCCACGUGUAGCAGUGAAAUGCGUAGAGAUGUGGAGGAAUACCGAUGGCGAAGGCAGCCCCCUGGGCCAAUACUGACGCUCAUGCACGAAAGCGUGGGGAGCAAACAGGAUUAGAUACCCCUGGUAGUCCACGCCCUAAAACGAUGUCAACUAGUUGUUGGGGAUUCAUUUUCCUUAGUAACGUAGCUAACGCGUGAAGUUGACCGCCUGGGGAGUACGGUCGCAAGAUUAAAACUC
rnacentral:rRNA from 1 species